rnacentral:tRNA from 1 species
GGGCGGAUAGCUCAGUUGGGAGAGCGCCUGGUUUACACCCAGGUUGUCGCAGGUUCGAACCCUGUUCUGCCCA